rnacentral:rRNA from 2 species
UGGGGAAUCUUCCGCAAUGGGCGCAAGCCUGACGGAGCAACGCCGCGUGAGUGAUGAAGGCCUUCGGGUUGUAAAACUCUGUCUUCAGGGAAGAAAAAAAUGACGGUACCUGAGGAGGAAGCCCCGGCUAACUACGUGCCAGCAGCCGCGGUAAAACGUAGGGGGCAAGCGUUGUCCGGAAUUACUGGGCGUAAAGGGCGCGUAGGCGGUUAUUUAAGUCAGAGGUGAAAACUCUGGGCUCAACUCAGAGCCUGCCUCUGAAACUGGAUGACUUGAGGGCAGGAGAGGGGAGUGGAAUUCCCAGUGUAGCGGUGAAAUGCGUAGAUAUUGGGAGGAACACCAGUGGCGAAGGCGGCUCUCUGGCCUGUUACUGACGCUGAGGCGCGAAAGCGUGGGGAUCAAACAGG